GACGAACGCUGGCGGCGUGCUUAACACAUGCAAGUCGAACGGAAAGGCCCCCUUGUGGGGUACUUGAGUGGCGAACGGGUGGGUAACACGUGAGUAACCUACCCUUGACUUUGGGAUAACUUCAGGAAACUGGGGCUAAUACCGGAUAGGAGCUCCUGCUGCAUGGUGGGGGUUGGAAAGUUUCGGCGGUUGGGGAUGGACUCGCGGCUUAUCCGCUUGUUGGUGGGGUAGUGGCUCACCAAGGCGUUGACGGGUAGCCGGCCUGAGAGGGUGACCGGCCACAAUGGGCCUGAGAUACGGCCCAGACUCCUACGGGAGGCAGCAGUGGGGAAUAUUGCGCAAUGGGCGGAAGCCUGAUGCAGCGACGCCGCGUGCGGGAUGACGGCCUUCGGGUUGUAAACCGCUUUCGCCUGUGACGAAGCGUGAGUGACGGUAAUGGGUAAAGAAGCACCGGCUAACUACGUG
rnacentral:rRNA from 1 species